rnacentral:rRNA from 1 species
GACGAACGCUGGCGGCGGGCUUAACACAUGCAAGUCGAACGGAAAGGCCCUGCUUUUGUGGGGUGCUCGAGUGGCGAACGGGUGAGUAACACGUGAGUAACCUGCCCUUGACUUUGGGAUAACUUCAGGAAACUGGGGCUAAUACCGGAUAGGAGCUCCUGCUGCAUGGUGGGGGGUGGAAAGAUUCGGCGGUUGGGGAUGGACUCGCGGCUUAUCAGCUUGUUGGUGGGGUAGUGGCUUACCAAGGCUUUGACGGGUAGCCGGCCUGAGAGGGUGACCGGCCACAUUGGGGCUGAGAUACGGCCCAGACUCCUACGGGAGGCAGCAGUGGGGAAUAUUGCACAAUGGGCGGAAGCCUGAUGCAGCAACGCCGCGUGCGGGAUGACGGCCUUCGGGUUGUAAACCGCUUUCGCCUGUGACGAAGCGUGAGUGACGGUAAUGGGUAAAGAAGCACCGGCUAACUACGUG